AGAUGCUUCUAUGUUAGUUUGACGAUAUUUCCUCAUCGUUUGAGUACUGUGUGUAGCCAUGUUUUUCCUCGAUGGAAGGUGCUGAGGAAACUUUCCCCUUUUGUGAUUCAAAGAGGGGUCUUGUCUUCCUAAAUUCCUGUCCAAUAUCACGUCUGCCUUAUUUUCAACGGUCAAGAUGUUAGUGAACAUGUCUAUCAUGAAAGAAACUAAUUGAGUUCAAUGAUUUUUGGUGUUUUCCUUUCUGAUGACAUUUGCCUGGCAUCUAUGAUUCGUUGGAAUUGCUUAAUACCUAUUUGCAGCAACUGUUUUUAAGUGGUUGGGACAGGCAAUGAUUCUAGGAAUGAUUAAAAUGAACUUACCUCUAUGUUCCUUUCAUUUUCAACUUAGUGUAGUAAAUGUUUACUUUGUGAAUGGAAAGUAGCAGGGGAAGCAGCUGCUGCUGGUCUUUCUCUUUCUGAUGUUACUGCAGAAGCAAAGUAUGCAUCUGAAAUGGUGGGAACGAUGGGUGUCGCCCUCUCUGUUUGUACACUUCUAGGCCAGGUCGCAUCAGAUCGUUUAGGCUCAAGAAUAAUGGAGCUAGGUCUUGGAAUCGUAAGUUGUUAAAUAAUCUCAUUUUCUUGCUAUCUUAAUUACAGUUUAAUCCAUUUCAGGUACCUUUAAUGAUCAAGCAACCUGAAUGAAGAUCUUCCAAUGAUUAUCGAUCUUUAUAUGUAUCUCAACCACUAGAAUAUAAUUUCUUGGGACCCUGCGAUGGCUACUUGAGAAUAGGACUUCAGAAUUUAUGCAUCAACAUGCACCACUAUGGCUUUCAUAAAUUGCAUGGGGAGCCUGGGGCCGCUGUUGCUGACAUCCAACCUGUGGAUGUAGUGGUAUCUCAUGUUCUAAAGCAGAUUUUAUCAAUGGUCUAUUUCACUUGAUCACUGAUUAUUAUACUGCUACUUCUACAUUCUGUUUUGUUGCUUAAAAUAUGGCAUAACAGGUCCCAUGAUAAAACUGAAACUCAAUUAUGAUUGCAUGCUAAAUCUAGUUCUCUUUUCUCAUCUUUUUAUCCUUUCUAGACAUUAUUGGAAUCUUUACUAGUCCCAGUAGUGUUUAGUUCCUUUAAUUCCUUUGCAUUCUCUUCUUAUAUUUUACUAU